rnacentral:rRNA from 1 species
UACAGAGGUCCCGAGCGUUGUUCGGAAUUACUGGGCGUAAAGGGCGCGUAGGCGGUGUGUCAAGUCAGGCGUGAAAGCCCCGGGCUCAACCUGGGAACCGCGCUUGAGACUGGCACGCUAGAGUUCGGGAGAGGAUGGUGGAAUUCCCAGUGUAGAGGUGAAAUUCGUAGAUAUUGGGAAGAACACCGAUGGCGAAGGCAGCCGUCUGGACCGACACUGACGCUGAGGCGCGAAAGCGUGGGGAGCAAACAGG